UCUUAGCGGCAAGCGAUAAUCUUAUUAGUCAAGUAUGCUUUGAUUCUCGGUUUUAUAAUUCUAUAUACUGAUUUAGAUUUAACAUUUUCUCAUUGCAAAGGGAAGUAGCAGACAAGGUAGCAGUAGCUGGAUUCUUGGUUGUAGUUCCUGAUCUCCUGUAUGGUGACUACUUAAGUUAUGAUCCUCAAUUUGAUAGAGAAGGAUGGUUGAAGAAACAUGGAGAGAUUAGUUGUAACUUUUACCAUUAGAACAUGUUUAUUAUAUAAAGCAAAAUCCAAAAUUUGAAUUUUCUGACCAUGCUUUUGACAUGUUUGUACUUUUAGGCUAAGGAAUAUGAAGACACCAAACCUAUUAUUUGCUUUUUAUUGGUUUGCUGCUGCUACUGCUUGUUUUCUUAAUGUGCCCUGACACAUGAUAAAGUUAUCCAAGUCUUCCUAGAAAAAGAUGCAAAAUUUAAAUUCUUAAUGCAUUUGUUCUACAUUUAUUGAAGUAAAUUAUUUAAAAUGUUCAAUUGCUAGCAACCUUUAACUUGUUAGCUAAACCCAAAAUUGAGUUCUAGAGUAAGUGACUACUAGCUAGGAAUGUGAAUGGAUGCUGAAAGUUAAAUUUUUGUGUGCAGAGGAAUGUGAUUAUUUUAGUGGGGGCUAGGUCCCCAAUCCUUUUGGACCAUUUUAUACAAAUGAAACCUGCAGCCAUAUUGAAUCUCAUCAGAAUUGUUUGAAGAAUGGAAGGCCUGAUAGAAAAUUUCUGCAUUAGAGAUGGGCUCCAAGAGGCUAUGAGUUACCCCUGUUUGAUGCACGGAAAUUUCUCAACAUGAUGCAUGGCAAAGUGUGGGCAUUGAUUGGCGAUUCCAUAUCCCGCAAUCAUGUGCAAUCGUUGAUAGCAUUCUUUCAACGUUGAUGUUUCUUGGAAGAGGAUCAAACAUUGUUAACCCUGCUUCUUGGAAGAGGAUCAAACAUAUCAGGUAUUUUCUGGCUGAAAUUGAGGGACCUGAGCAAAAAUCUGAUCCAGAGACUCAAAAGGACUGCAGAUGCUGUUGGAUUCUGACCUCCCUGCACUCGAAGUGGAUUUUCUGGAGCUACAGAAGCCCAAUUGGCGCGCUCUGAACGGCGUUGGAAAGUAGACAUCCUGGGCUUUCCAGCAAUAUAUAAUAGUCCAUACUUUGCCCAAGAUUUGAUGGCCCAAACCGGCAUUCAAAGUCACCUCAAGAAAUUCCAGCGUUAAACGCCGGAACUGGCACCUAAUUGGGAGUUAAACGCCCAAACUGGCACUAAAGCUGGCGUUUAACUCCAAGGAGAGUCUCUACACGAAAUUCCUUCAUUGCUCAGCCCAAGCACACACCAAGUGGGCCCGGAAGUGGAUUUUUAUGUC